AAAAAUUAUUUGGGGGAGGGGCAAGUGCCCCCCCCCCCGCUUCAGGAGCCCUUGACGAGAAGUCCGUUGCAAAAAUGCUCCUAGGGAGUUUUUUUUUUUUAAAUCUACGACGCAUGACGAAUUCGGGAACAGAUAUCAACGAACGGAGAAGGCAGCAACCUUUGGUAGCAACACUGUCCUCUACGUUCAUUGAUAGAUAAAUGUUGUGCCCUUCAUGACAAGAGGUCUUUGUCAAAAGUUGGUUAAUUAAAACAGCAGCUUUGUCAUGGACUAUGGACAAACGACAUGAUUUAUUUGCAUUUUUUCCGACAGCUCUGAAACUUAGGACGAUCUGCCGUUCCGGUUCACCAAUUUUCGAAUUCCUCCUUUGCCACCCCACGGCCUCUGGAUUCGCGUCUGUCUCGGAUAUCUAAUUCGCAUCUUCAAAACAAAUCUACGAUUCAUUUUUUUUACAGAUGCUAAUUAGCAUGAUUAUGUAGUAAAAAAAUCUAUACUUUCUGGUGAUACUCAAAAAUCUUCCCAAGAUUUUGAAUCUGGUAAAACUGCACUCCGAUUAUUAGUCUACUUUCUUAGAGUUUUGUCUACUUGCUUUGUAUGGUAUUCAGAUUUGUCCGAAAUAACAGAAAUUAUAACAUGAAUUACUAGUCAUAUCGGUAGCCAAGUGUGACGCAAGAUUACACAGAAAUAUCGUAGAACACUAUAUGUACAGAAUAAUAUAUAUACUGUAUUUCCAACAGUAGAGAUGACAUACCCGAUCACCUAAAGUCACAUAAGCAACUUUAAUGCCACUUUCAGUACAAAUACUAACUAUUGUAUGGUUGUUUUUUUUAUUCCAAUUUGUGAUCUUAAAAAAAUAACAGGCCCCCGUCAUCAAUGCUAUGAAUGACGAGAAGGAUCUGUGCAUUUGGACAAAUGACUCAAUUCAUUUUUUAAUGCAAAUGAGGUGAAAACAUAAAACACAUUCAUUUGUAAAGACAGCUACAAACGAUACAAAAUGGGUUUUUAUUUC